GACGAACGCUGGCGGCGUGCCUAAUACAUGCAAGUAGAACGCUGACGGCGGAGCUUGCUUCUCUGGAUGACUUGCGAACGGGUGAGUAACGCUUAGGUAACCUGCCUGUUAGCGGGGGAUAACUAUUUGACACGAUAUCUAAUACCGCAUAACAGUUGAUAUCGCAUGAUAUCUCCUUGAAAGGUUCAAUUGCUUCACUACCAGAUGGCCCUGCGUUGUAUUAGCUAGUUGGUGAGGUAACGGCUCACCAAGGCGACGAUACAUAGCAGACCUGAGAGGGUGAGAGGCCAAACUGGGAAUGAAACACGGCCCAGACCACUACGGGAGGCAGCAGGAGGGAAUCUUCAGGAAAGGAAGGAAGGCUGAACGAGGAACGCCGGGUGAGAGAAGAAGGGAUUAGGAUCGGAAAGGUCUGUUGGAAGAGAAGAACGAGUGGGAGAGUGGAAAGUGCACACUGUGACGGUAUCUUACCAGAAAGGGACGGCUAACUACGUG
rnacentral:rRNA from 1 species